rnacentral:rRNA from 1 species
CAGGCCUAACACAUGCAAGUCGAACGAGCUGAGACCUUCGGGUCUCGAUGCUAGUGGCGCACGGGUGAGUAACGCGUGGGAACGUACCCUUUAGUACGGAAUAACCAAGGGAAACUUUGGCUAAUACCGUAUACGCCCUUCGGGGGAAAGAUUUAUCGCUAAAGGAUCGGCCCGCGUCUGAUUAGGUAGUUGGUGAGGUAACGGCUCACCAAGCCGACGAUCAGUAGCUGGUCUGCGAGGAUGAUCAGCCACACUGGGACUGCGACACGGCCCAGACUCCUACGGGAGGCAGCAGUGGGGAAUAUUGGACAAUGGGCGAGAGCCUGAUCCAGCCAUGCCGCGUGAGUGAAGAAGGCCUUCGGGAUGUAAAGCUCUUUCGACGGGGACGAUGAUGACGGUACCCGUAUAAGAAGCCCCGGCAAACUUCGUGCCAGCCGCCGCAGUAAAAC